ensembl:snRNA U6 U6 spliceosomal RNA
AUGCUCACUUCUACAGCCCAUAUACUAAAACUGGAACAAUACAGAGAUUAGUAGAACCUCAGGGAUGACACAAAUUCAUGAAGCCUUCCAUAUUUUU